GCCAGGGGCUGUGCGUCUGCUCAGGGCUGUGCAGCCCAAACGGCACUGCGGAGCCCACACAAAGUGGUAUUGCAGUGUUGGCUGAGGAAAAGCAAACAGCUGUCCAUUUCCAUUUAGUGUGGCUGGAACUGGCCAUACAGAUUUUAUUAUAUGCUCUGCAACAGCUCUCCAGACAUUUUGAAAGUUCUUUUCCUGUCCAUGCUUCCGUCAUUGCUUUAUUUUCCUCUCUACCAUAAAGCACUGGUUUCUAGGAAGCAGGGCCCUUCAUAAUGGGAAAAAAAGGCAUUAUUGAGUCACACCUGCCAUUUUAUAGCAAGGUGCCCACUGCCUGGCUGAGCUUACUGCUCUGUGCACAGGAGCAGGGGGACACGGGUGAGAUCUCCUUGUGGAUGGGGGUUCUGGUGGGUGUCCCCAGGAUGGAGCCAGGUGCCCCUGGGCCUGGGGAAGCGUGGCUGGAGCCAUCCCCUCUGCAGGAGACACAAUUCCAGCUUCCCUGGUGUUACCUGAAGAGGAGCCAGGCCACAGAUGGAUAAUGCCAAGAGAUGGAGAUUCCUCUGUGUUGUGGCCACGAGCCUUUUAAGCACUGGAUUUAUUCGUGUGUGUGGUGACUGCGGCUCCACUCAGUGCAAACAGCGGCGUGCUGAAGGGCGGGCAAGGGCUGCGAGAUGGCUGUGUUUAGAGAAAGUCAUAAUAACCAGGGCUCCUAUCCUCUGCUACAAUUUAUUAUCAAAACAAAGCGGCCCCAAGUAUAAAUACAUUGUCUUUAAUAAAAUGCUUUUGAACAUAUCUGACAUACUUAUAUUCAAAGUGGCCCUUUUAUCUUCUGCAGUGGACCGAAGUGAGGGCUGAGUCCCCGUGCAUCCCUGUGAGCAUCGGGGCCGGUGCCCAGCGAGCUGCCGUGGAGCACUGGGGCCACGCAGCGGGGAGGGCUGGGGGGCUCAGAGCAAACGCCCUGGUGCACACCGGGUGCCUGCACCUUCCAGCGGAAGCACUGUGUCAGCGGUGCGAGAACCUGGGAGCAGGCCCAGCACCGUGCACAGUUUUAGAUUGAUGCUGUGUUGGGUGAACUUGGGCUCCCGUGGGCACCCGUCUGCCAGCGUGGUGUGGUGUGGGCAGUGAGGGACAGCACUGCCGCAGUGCCAAAGGUCUCUGAUUGUGCUGGUGAAACCACCAAAUGUGUUCAGUGGCUCAUGCGGCUCCCACGCUUCCUGGGGGAGAAACGUGGCGAGGAAUAAAAGCAGCAUCUGUUAAUUUAUAACCACAGUUCUCAGUGAGACGGCAGCGGGUUGGGAAUGCACGAGGAGCGUCACAAGGAGCAGGGCUGGGCCGCUCACCUCCAGGUCCUUGGAAUAUGAACCACACAGCGCAGCUCCACAGAUGCUGUCCUCGUAAGGGGGC
rnacentral:lncRNA from 1 species